rnacentral:tRNA from 1 species
GAGUAUGUAGCCAAGGGUCUUAGCUUUGCAAAGGCUAAUGAGGAGUUUAUCCCAUACUUUU